GAUGAACGCUGGCGGCGUGCCUAAUACAUGCAAGUCGAGCGAACAGACGAGAGUGCUUGCACUCUCUGACGUUAGCGGCGGACGGGUGAGUAACACGUGGGUAACCUACCUAUAAGACUGGGAUAACUUCGGGAAACCGGAGCUAAUACCGGAUAAUAUUUAGCUUCGCAUGAAGCAAUAGUGAAAGACGGUUCUGCUGUCACUUAUAGAUGGACCCGCGGUGUAUUAGCUAGUUGGUGAGGUAACGGCUCACCAAGGCAACGAUACAUAGCCGACCUGAGAGGGUGAUCGGCCACACUGGGACUGAGACACGGCCCAGACUCCUACGGGAGGCAGCAGUAGGGAAUCUUCCGCAAUGGACGAAAGUCUGACGGAGCAAUGCCGCGUGAGUGAAGGAGGUUUUCGGAUCGUAAAACUCUGUUGUAAGGGAAGAACAAGUACGUUAGUAACUGAACGUACCUUGACGGUACCUUACCAGAAAGCCACGGCUAACUACGUG
rnacentral:rRNA from 1 species